rnacentral:rRNA from 1 species
CAGUCGCCGCGGGAAUACGUAGGGUGCAAGCGUCAAUCGGAAUUACUGGGCGUAAAGCGUGCGCAGGCGGUUCUAUAAGACAGAUGUGAAAUCCCCGGGCUCAACCUGGGAACUGCAUUUGUGACUGUAGAGCUGGAGUGCGGCAGAGGGGGAUGGAAUUCCGCGUGUAGCAGUGAAAUGCGUAGAUAUGCGGAGGAACACCGAUGGCGAAGGCAAUCCCCUGGGCCUGCACUGACGCUCAUGCACGAAAGCGUGGGGAGCAAACAGGAUUAGAUACCCCGGUAGUCCCUGUCUCUUAUAC